rnacentral:lncRNA from 1 species
UGUGUGAGCAGUAAGGAGAAUUUGUAGGCUUUAAAAGGCCAUGCUGUAACAGGCAAGUGAUAAUAGGCUUCAUCCCUUUAAAUCCUGGUGUGGGAUGGGAUACUGGCAUUGAGCAGGGUAAGGGUGAUUAGGUUUUAAUGGAAUGGUAAGGGGUGCAUGGUCGGUUGCCAGAGAACAAGUAGAGGUAUCCCAUACUUGUGGAUUAAGGUGGGGAGACACAAAGGGAGGAUGUGAAAGAGGCCUUGAAUUGGGCAAAAGGACAGCAGUGAGGUGUGGCUGUAGCCCAGGAAUAACCAGGGAAGCAGAUAAUUUGUUAAAAUGUCUCAGCCUAAUAAGGGAACUGGGCAGGUGGGGAUAACUAAAAAAGUGCAUAAAAGCAUGUUGUCUAAGUUGGCACCAGAGUGGGGGAAUUUUAAGAGGUUCAGAAGCUUGGCCGUCAAUACCCACAACAGCUAUGGGGGCAAGGGAAACAGGCCCUUGAAAAGAAGGUAAUGUGGAGUGGGUAGCCUCCAUAUCAAUUAAAAAGGGGACGGACUUACCCUCCACUGUAAAAGUUACCCGAAGCUCGGCGUCCAUGAUGGUCCAGGGGGCUUUCCCAGGUGAUCGGGCAGCAUCAGUCUUCAGCCGCAAAGCCGAGAUCUGAGAAGCAGUCAGCCAGAGAGCUUUGAUCCAGAGCUCCAGGGGCCCUAGAAGUGGCUGUGAUAUUAGUUGGACAGUCCGAUUUCCAGUGGGGUCCCGCACAGGUGGGACACGGCUUAGGAAGAAUCCUGGGCUGUGGGCAUUUCUUGGUCUAGUGGCCAGUUUUGCGGCACUUGAAUCAAGGUCCAUGAGGAGGAUUUAAAGGAGUAGCUGGAGGCUGUGGUUUGGUUGUUCUGAAGUUUUUGUGUGCUGAAGGCAUGGCUGGGGUUUGUCUUACAGCAGGCGCAAGCAGUUGCAGCUCUGAAAUGCGUUGCCGCUUGGCUGCCUCUUUAUUGUUGAACACCUUGAAGGCGAGGUUGAUUAAUUCCUGUUGUGGGGUUUGAGGGCCAGAUUCCAAUUUUUGAAGCUUUUUUCUAAUGUCAGGAGCUGACUGGGUGAUAAAACACAUAUUGAGAAUAAGAUGGCCUUCUGGCCCUCGAGGGUCUAGGGCUGUAAAGCGUCUAAGGGUAGCCACCAAGCGGGCCAAGAACUGGGCUGGGUUUUCAUCUUUACCUUGAGUGGCUUCUUUAAGCUUGUCAUAACUAACAGCUUUGUAUGCUGCCUUUUUUAGCCCUUCAACUAGGCAAGAGACCAUGUAAUCUCACCUAGCUAUACCUGGGAAGCCUGUCUGGUAUUCCCUUUGGGGAUCAUCUCGGGGAACUGCCCUGAUGCCUUCUUGGAGGUCUGGCUCACGAUGCAAGCAGGUGUCAGUGUGAGAAUGGGCUAGGGUAUAAACUCUUUCCCGCUCAUCUGGGGAGACGGGAGAGGUCAGGAUGACAUUUAAAUCACUCCAGGUUAAAUUGUAGGACUGAGUCAAAUAUUGGAAUUCUUGUAUAUAUUUAGUGGGGUCUGAUGAGAAAGAGCCCAGAUGCUGACUGAUUUGGAAAAGGUCUGAUAGAGAAAAAGGUACAUGAACCCUUACUGUGCCCUCAGCUCCAGCCACCUCUCUAAGAGGAAACUGUUGGGCAGGUGGGAGGAGAGCUAGUCAUGGAAUGAAACUGUAAGCCAGACUGAGUGUGAGGAGGGGAGGUGAUAGAAGAAUUAUAAGGUGGGGGAGCAGAGGCUGAGGAGGAAUUGGGACUUGAUUCAGCCUGUCAAGGAGUGGCCUGGGGAGGGGGAGAGAGGUCAGAGGGGUCUGCAGAAAAGGAGGAUUCAGAAGACUCUGAGGUUGGGGUAGAGACUGAAGAAGCGGACAGGAGAGAAAGAAGAAGGAUUUGGGAUGAGCUGCAUUGGGAGCAGAGGCUAGGGAGGGAACGAAGUAUAAAAAAUGCCUGGACGUAAGGCACCUCAGACCAUUUGCCCAUUUUUCGACAAAAUUUAUCUAGGUCUUGUGGGAUGGAGAAAUCGAAAGUGCCGUUUUCUGGCCACUUGGAACCAUUGUCGAGCUUGUAUUGGGGCCAAGCGGAGUUGCAGAAGAAAAUAAGACUCUUAGGUUUUAGGUCAGGUGAGAGUUUAAGAGGUUUUAAGUUUUUAAGAACACAGGCUAAGGCGGAAGAAGGAGGAAUGGAGGGUGGAAGGUUGCCCAUAGGAAAAAGGUAAGUUCCAAGAAAAGAGGGGGUAGAGACUCGAAGAGAGGGGGGUGGUACUUGCCACCCAGGGGAGGUUGUACUUGCCACCAAGGUGGAGGAUCAAAGCAGGUGUCCCCGCAGUGAUUAAACACUUCUGGAAUGCGGGUGAAUAAUCAGGCAGGCGUCCCCGCAGUGAUUAGACACCAAGGAAAGACUGUCUUCCCGAGUCUGUGACCAGCUCCAGAGUUUGGAGUCCACAGAUAAAACGUGUCUUCUCUGUCUCUACCAGAAAGCAAAAGGAAAUGAAGGGAAGGGAGAGAUUGAAGGGUGACGUGGAAAUUGAAAGGAGAAAGAGGUUGAGGGAUAGCGACAGAGGUUAGAGAAGAGAAUAAAAAGAGGCCACUUACCCAAUUUAAAAUUGGUGAGGUGUUUUGUUUGGGCUGGUCUGAGGACCUGAGGUUGUAAGUGGAUUUUCUCAUGGAGCAAAGAGCAGGAGGACAGGCGAUUGAUCUCUGGAGGGAGGUCCCCCGAACCAAGUCAUGGCACCAAAUGUCAAGCGCCUCUGUGUGAAGAGACCACCUAACAGGCUUUGUGUGAGCAAUAAAGCUUUUUAAUCACCUGGGUGCAGGCGGACUGAGUCU